UCUGUAAAAGAGAAUGUCACUGUUUACAUCCCAAUUUUCACUGUUUUAUGUCCCAAAUUUUCACCACUUAUGUUAUGGUAGUUUUUGAAGUGUAGUUUUUAGUAUAGAGCAAGAUGGUAUUCACAUAUAUUUAUUUCACUGUUAGUCUGUUAAUCUGUAAAAUAAAAUGUCACUGUUUACAUCCCAAUUUUCACUGUUUUAUGUCCCAAAUUUUCACUACUUAUGUUAUGGUAGUUUUUGAAGUGUAGUUUUUAGUAUAGAGCAAGAUGGUAUUCACAUAUAUUUAUUUCACUGUUAGUCUGUUAAUCUGUAAAAGAGAAUGUCACUUUAUAUCCCAAUUUUCACUGUUUUAUGUCCCAAAUUUUCACGACUUAUGUUAUGGUAGUUUUUGAAGUGUAGUUUUUUGUAUAGAGUGUAAGAUGGUAUUCACAUAUAUUUAUUUCACUGUUAGGCUUUCUGUUAAUCUGUAAAAUAUGUCACUGUUUAUAUUCAAAUUUUCACUGGUUAUGUUGAGUAUAUUUUUUGGGGGGUAAAUUUCGUAUACAGAUCGUCAGUUGCUGAGUAUAUGUAUUCUACUGUUAUCCCAAUUUUCACUGUUUAUGUUGAGUAUAUUUUUUGGGGGUAAAUUUCGUAUACAGAUCGUCAGUUGCUGAGUAUAUGUAUUCUACUGUUAUUCCAAUUUCCACUGUUUAUGUUGUGUAUAGUCUUUUGGGGUAAAUUUCGUAUACAGAUCGUCAGUUGCUGAGUAUAUGUAUUCUACUGUUAUUUCAAUUUUCACUGGUUGUGUUGAGUAUAGUUUUGGGGGUAAAUUUCGUAUACAGAUCGUCAGUUGCUGAGUAUAUGUAUUCUACUGUUAUUCCAAUUUUCACUGGUUGUGUUGAGUAUAGUUUUUUGGGGGUAAAUUUCGUAUACAGAUCGUCAGUUGCUGAGUAUAUGCAUUCUACUGUUAUUCCAAUUUCCACUGGUUAUGUUGUGUAUAGUUUUUUGGGGGUAAAUUUCGUAUACAGAUCGUCAGUUGCUGAGUAUAUGUAUUCUACUGUUAUCCCAAUUUUCACUGUUUAUGUUGUGUAUAGUUUUUGGGGGGUAAAUUUCGUAUACAGAUCGUCA